rnacentral:rRNA from 1 species
CCAAUAGCGUAUAUUAAAGUUGUUGCAGUUAAAAAGCUCGUAGUUGAAUUUCGGGGUUAGUAGGUUGGUCAUGCCUCUGGUAUGUACUGGUCUCACUGAUUCCUCCUUCCUGAUGAACCUUAAUGCCAUUAAUUUGGUGUUUUGGGGAAUUUGGACUGUUACUUUGAAAAAAUUAGAGUGUUUAAAGCAAGCUAACGCUUGAAUACAUUAGCAUGGAAUAAUGAAAUAGGACGUUCGAUCCUAUUUUGUUGGUUUCUAGGAUUGACGUAAUGAUUAAUAGGGAUAGUUUGGGGCAUUAGUAUUCAAUUGUCAGAGGUGAAAUUCUUGGAUUUAUUGAAGACUAACUACUGCGAAAGCAUUUGCCAAGGAUGUUUUCAUUAAUCAAGAACGAAAGUUAGGGGAUCGAAGACGAUCAGAUACCGUCGUAGUCUUAACCAUAAACUAUGCCGACUAGGGAUCGGAUGAUGUUAAUUUUUUAAUGACUCAUUCGGCGCCUUACG